rnacentral:rRNA from 1 species
CCUACGGGAGACAGCAGUGGGGAAUAUUGCACAAUGGGGGAAACCCUGAUGCAGCAACGCCGCGUGAGUGAAGAAGUAUUUCGGUAUGUAAAGCUCUAUCAGCAGGGAAGAAGAAAGAAGGUACCUGAAUAUGAAGACUCGGCUAACUACGUGCCAGCAGCCGCGGUAAAACGUAGGGGGAAAGCGUUAGCCGGAUUUACUGGGUGUAAAGGGAGCGUAGUCGGCUGGGCCAGUGUGAAGUGAAAGCCCGUGGCUCAACCGCGGAACUGCUUUGGAAACUGUAUAGCUUGAGUACUGGAGAGGCAGGUGGAAUUCCUAGUGUAGCGGUGAAAUGCGUAGAUAUUAGGAGGAACACCAGUGGCGAAGGCGGCCUGCUGGACAGAAACUGACGUUGAGGCUCGAAAGCGUGGGGAGCAAACAGGAUUAGAUACCCGAGUAGUC